CUAUUACGCAAGCCUCUUCUUCAGACCUCAGGCUUGUGCUGCACGACACUUCAUACAACUUUGAGGGUGUGGCGCGCAGCCGAGGCUACAUGGGUUGGGCUAUUGCUCUUCAUGGCGGCGCCGGCGACAUUCCUCUCUCCUUGCCGCCGGAACGCCGUCGGCCGCGUGAGGAAGCCCUCCGGCGCUGCCUUCAGAUCGGCGUCGAAGCUCUCAAAUCCAAAAUGGCUCCCCUAGACGUGGUCGAGCUUGUGGUUCGUGAAUUAGAGAACUGUCCACAUUUUAAUGCGGGAAGGGGAUCUGUGCUGACAAACAAAGGCACAAUUGAAAUGGAAGCUUCUAUCAUGGAUGGCAAUACCAAGAAAUGUGGAGCUGUUUCGGGGCUCACUACGGUUGUCAAUGCAAUAUCUUUAGCUCGAUUGGUCAUGGAGAAGACGCCUCAUAUAUAUCUAGCAUUUGACGGAGCAGAGGAAUUUGCUAAAGAACAAGGUGUUGAGACUAUCGAUUCAAGCCACUUUAUUACCGCGGAAAACAUUGAAAGACUAAAGCAGGCACAGGAAGCAAAUAGGGUUCAGGUCGAUUAUACACAACCCAUCCAAAAAAUUGAUUCCAAGAAGGAAACACCAAUUGCUAAUGGUGAUAGUCAACUAGGAACAGUUGGGUGCGUGGCUGUUGACAGUCAGGGGAAUCUAGCUUCUGCAACAUCAACUGGUGGACUAGUGAACAAAAUGGUUGGUAGAAUUGGCGACACGCCGGUCAUCGGAGCGGGGACAUAUGCAAAUGAGCUCUGUGCAGUUUCUGCCACAGGUAAAGGAGAAUCAAUAAUACGUGGAACUGUUGCAAGAGAUGUGGCAGCCCUGAUGGAGUUCAAAGGCCUAUCUCUUGAAGAAGCUGCUAGAUGUGUUGUUGAGGAACGGACCCCAAAAGGCACUGUUGGCUUGGUUGCUGUGUCUGCAAAAGGAGAAAUUUCCGUGUCUCAUAACACUACUGGCAUGUUCCGAGCAUGUGCUUCUGAAGAUGGCUAUUCGGAGAUUGCAAUUUGGUCUUUUGGCCUGAAUUGAGUGAUCUGGAGGAUUCUGUUUUGCUGGCUUAGAAAACCUGUAUUUUUCAUUACGUCUAUCGUUAUUUUGCAAUAAGAGCAUGUCGCCCAACUAUAGGACUUGUUUGGAACAACUUAUAAUCAUUCUAAACAAGCCCUUAAACCCUCUCAAACAGGCACAAAAUUGUUUUGUUGAUCUGUGGGACCCGAAUCUCAGUGCUCCAACAAUAGUACUACUUUUGUUCCUUU